AGGCGAGGCGCUGCGUUGCCCUUCAGGAGACAGUUGGCUAGAAGAAGAAAAGAAGUGUUCGUUCAAAUUAAGGAGAGAAAACGGGAGCAGAGCAGCUUUCAGGCUUUCCGUCAAAUUCCCUUUUCUCCUUCCCUCUUGAGAAAGUCUCUGAAGGGAAUGGUUCAGCCUGACGGGGUGGAGCAGUGACGCCCGGGCUACGCGCCAGGGUUGCCUGGCAGCCAGGAGUUCGAGGACCGGCGGCGGGGCGGGGCCUGUCUCCGGGCACCCGGGACGCCCGUAGCCUGGCGGAGAGCGCCAGAGAGGGCCCCUGAAAAACCGGACCAGGGAAGAGGGUACCUCGGGGCGGAUGAGGGGACAGCUGCUAAGGGCCGAGGCUGCUGGGAAGCCUCAGUAGCGGCCGUGAAUACAGUGGAGCUCUGGCGCUGCUUAUUUCGGCCUAACUCUUAGUUUCCUCAUCUGAACAACCCCAGGCUCCCAUGAUGGCUAUGUGAUCCACCGGACUAAUGAGACAGAAGACAGUGUCCUUUGGAAGACAUUUGUAAAAGAACCCUCCCCCCACCAUUUAAAAAAAAGGAAAAGAAAAAAGGAGAGUUACAGGAGAGUCCUCCUCCUCCCUUCCUUUGCUGUCAUUAUUGGGAGUACAGAGGAAGGAUCCAAGGAGCAAGACACAGAAUUCUGAGGAGGAUGUUCCAUUGGCUGCUACUGGCCAUACUUUGGAAGAUCAGAGGAGGGUUCCCACAGAGCUGGAACUCACCUCUGAGAAGAGGAUAUUGCUCAGCUGCUUCUCGUGCCUCCAAGUGAACACAAUAGUGAUGCUGAUUCGUGAAGUUAGAAAGAAUGUGGAAACUAGAAAACCACAGCUAUAACCAACUGCUGCUGCUAAGAAUGGGACUGUUUCAAGGGAAGGCUCCUUACAGCGAAGAAAAGGGUCAAAUCCAAUUAAAAUUGCAAAGGAAACUUCGUGAGGACGAAUGCCAUUAGCCCAAACUGGAAUGUGGCCAAAACACGGGGUAAUACUUCAACUCUUAGAAAAAGUGCCAGGGGGAUAUUUAACAACUGCAGGUGGCCAAAUGCUUUCUCAUAAGUCUCAUCAGAAAAGUCAUUUAUAGCAACAGUAUUCACCAAGAAUUGUAAGAGAAACAUUUUGUGAA
rnacentral:lncRNA from 1 species